GGAGACGACGGGUAGCCGGUGUGAGAGCAUGACCGGCCACAAGGUUACUGAGACACGGAACCUACACCUACGGGUGGCAGCAACUGGGAAUAUUGCGCAAUGGGCGAAAGCCUGACGCAGCGACACCGCGUGCGGGAUGAAGCUUCUAGGAGUGUAAACCGCUGUGACGAGGGAUGAAUUUUGACAGUACCUCGUUAGAAAGCACUUGCUAACUACGUGCCAGAAGCCUCGGUAAUACGUAGAGUGCGAGCGUUAUCCGGAUUUACUGGGCGUAAAGCGUACCGCAGGUGACCUGAUAAGUUUUUUGUCCAAGCCUGGAGCUUAACUCCAGAAAGGCAGAGAAUACUAUUAGGAUUGAGUCUGUUCGAGGAACUUGGAAUUCUCGGUGGAGGGGUGAAAUCCGUAGAUAUCGAGAGGAACGCCAAGCGCGAAGGCAGGGUUCUAGGACACGACUGACACUCAGGGACGAAAGCUUGGGGAGCAAAAGGGAUUAGAGACCCC
rnacentral:rRNA from 1 species